UCAAUAAUAUGUAAAAUUCGUGUCCUUCUCAAAUAGGUGUUAGUUGAGUAAUGGCCCUAAAAUUAUGCUCCUCUUCUUUCAACAUCUGAGUUUCCGCAGCCAUUCCUUAGCCAUGCAUGUUCCUAGAUUGGUUUUGUCUCUUUGACACCAAACUGUGAAUAGUAGAUAGUUAACCAGGCAUGGCCACUCGUUGUAAAUAGUUUCUCCUUAUGAGUUGCAACUGCUUGGAGGCAGCAAGUUAUCUUGUGGCUACUGCUCAUGCAUUGCCAUUAGGUGAAUUCGUCAACAGAGAACAUGGGAAUGCUGAGAUUUUGUGGCAGUCAGCUGAUGAUUCCCA
rnacentral:lncRNA from 1 species